AAAUUAAAUUCCAGCCCUCAAACCACACAACAGGAUUUAAUUAACCUAGCCUUCAAGGUGUACAAUAAUAGAAAAAAGUUGCAAUUCCUUGCCUCCACUGUGAGACAAACCCCAGACACAUCUCCAGCACACAAGAACUUCCAAACGCUUGAACCGCAGCCACCAGGCGUUCCUCCAGAAGCUCCUCCCCCAGGAGCUUGCUACAAGUGCCAGAAAUCUGGCCACCAGGCCAAGGAAUGCCUGCAGCCCAGGAUUCCUCCUAAGCCGCGUCCCAUCUGUGCGGGACCCCACUGGAAAUCGGACUGUCCCACUCACCUUGGCAGCCACUCCCAGAGCCCCUGGAACUCUGGCCCAAGGCUCUCUGACUCCUUCCCAGACCUUCUUGGCUUAGCAGCUGAAGACUGAAGCUGCCCGAUCGCCUCAGAAUCCCCCUAGACCAUCACGGACGCCAAGCUUCGGGUAACUCUCACAGUGGAAGAUGGCCGGUUCCUGCCUUAACUGAUGACAUUCCACCAUAAAAGAAGUGAAAAUGGCCUGUUCCUGCCUUAACUGAUGACAUCGUCUUGUGAAAUUCCUUCUUCUGGCUCAUCCUGGCUCAAAAGCUCCCCUACUGAGCACCUUGUGACCCCCACUCUGCCCGCCAGAGAACAACCCCCCUUUGAAUGUAAUUUUCCUUUACGUACCCAAAUUCUAUAAAACGGCCCCACCCCAUCUCCCUUCGCUGACUCUCUUUUCGGACUCAACUCACCUGCACCCAGGUGAAAUAAACAGCUUUAUUGCUCACACAAA
rnacentral:lncRNA from 1 species